rnacentral:rRNA from 1 species
AGCAGCCGCGGUAAUUCCAGCUCCAAUAGCGUAUAUUAAAGUUGUUGCAGUUAAAAAAGCUCGUAGUUGAAUUUCGGGAUCAAUACGUCGGUCGUACCUCGGUACGUACUAACGUCAUUGAUUUCUCCCUUCUGAUGAACCAUGAUGCCAUUAAUUUGGUGUUAUGGGAAAUCAGGACUGUUACUUUGAAAAAAAUUUAGAGUAGUUUAAAGCAGGCUCACGCUUGAAUACAUUAGCAUGGAAUAAUGAAAUAGGACGUUCGAUCCUAUUUUGUUGGUUUUUAGGAUCAACGUAAUGAUUAAUAGGGAUAGUUGGGGGCAUUAGUAUUCAAUUGUCAGAGGUGAAAUUCUUGGAUUUUAUUGAAGACUAACUACUGCGAAAGCAAUUUGCCAAGGAUGUUUUCAUUAAUCUAAGAACGAAAGUUAGGGGAUCGAAGACGAUCAGAUACCGUCGUAGUCUUAACCAUAAACUAUGCCGACUAGGGAUCGGAUGAUGUUAAUUAUUUAAUGACUCAUUCGGC